rfam:Octopus bimaculoides Scaffold105479_contig_21, whole genome shotgun sequence.
UAUUACGGCUAUAUCACGCUGAGAGCACCGGUUCUCGUCCAAGCACCGAAGUUAAGCAACGUCGAGCCUAGUGAGUACUUAGAUGGGUGACCGCUUGGGAAAUCUAGGUACUGUAAGUG